AGGACGAACGCUGGCGGCGCGCUUAACACAUGCAAGUCGAGCGAGAACCAGUCCUUCGGGACUGGGGACAGCGGCGAACGGGUGAGUAACACGUGGGUAAUCUGCCCUCGAUUCUGGGAUAGCCCGGGGAAACCCGGAUUAAUACCGGGUAGCCUCUCUGGCUUUCGAGCCGGCGAGAAAAGGUAGCUUCGGCCUCCGAUCGAGGAUGAGCCCGCGGCGGAUUAGCUUGUUGGUGGGGUAAUGGCCUACCAAGGCGACGAUCCGUAGCUGGUCUGAGAGGAUGAUCAGCCACACGUGGGACUGAGACACGGCCCAGACCUCCGUACGGGAGGCAGCAGGUGGGGAAUAUUGGAACAAGUGGGCGACAAGCCUGAUCCAGACAAUGCCGCGUGAGUGAGGAAGGCGUUAGGUAGUAAGCUUCUUACGAACGCGACGAGUGAGU
rnacentral:rRNA from 1 species